rnacentral:lncRNA from 1 species
CCGGAACACAAUGUACGGACGAUGACGAAGAUGAAUUACACUUGACGUUGCCCAGCGGUGUCCUUUCAUGAGUACACAUAAUUGGGGCAGACAAAGUACAGCCGCGUCUAGGGAAACAUAUUUUGGUUCUCGGCUGCCUGAAACACUUUCACAUUUAUGGUAGAAACGUCCGCUGUUAUUGCUGCUGUUGCUACUCAGGAAGAAAAGGUUUAUCCAUGCUAUUUCCUUCCAAUUCGCGAACUCGAAGCUUUGACCGACGCGGCCUUGUCCGCAGCUAUAAGCUAAACUUUUUUUGUCAACUUAAACGCCUCAAGACAGUCAUUCACACAUUACAUGUGCGCAAAAGAAGAGCCAAACUCUGCAGAGACAUGUGGGAAGAUGUAUCGCCGGCUCCUGUGAUUUGUCCACGCAUGAGCUACUGGAGCAUGCCAGGAGCUGCGUGUACACAAACGUAAGACCACAAUCAGGGCUUUCACUAGUGGAACAUAGAUAUAGCAAUCACUUGCAGAGCAGACCCACUGGGACAUGCCCCACUGCCAUGUCCUUACCACGCUGGUUAACCACUGAAGCUGAAAUGUACUCUGUGACAUGCACCUGCAACAGCACGCGAGAGGAUAGUCCUCGAGCGAAGGUGAGGUAUUACCCGAGGUUGGUAUGCGGGGUUUCUUACUAGAUAGUUUCAGGUACCGAUCCUAUCCUGAUUUCCUUGUACACAUAUAAAUGUAUAUAGGCAGGUGGCUGGCAGAGGUGAAGGCCUGACUUCUGCUCCCGGAGUGUCCGGGUUCAAAUCCGCCUGCUGACCCCUCGGGUGUGUGAGGGGUGGUGAAUUGGGAGGUGGCCCCCCAUCGUGUGGAUGGUGUAGGACGUGAUUAUAUCAACUUGCGAGCUGACCAGGAACUAAGGUGAGGCGCCGUUGAUCCGCUAGAUUUAGUUGGAUGUUGGUGGUGAGUUGCGGAACCCAGCGAAUACAUUCUGAAGUCGGAUGGGGUGAAUGGAUCAGGGUGCCCCUCUCGCAGGGGAGAGCAGGGAACUGCCUCGGGAAAGGGGGCCGCUGGUGAAGCUAUACCACCCUGUAACAACAUACAUAUAAAUACUAGGGUUUGGCACUACUGGUAAGGCGCGACCAUAGCCCCCGGGAGAUCCCGGGAUCGGUACCCAUUAGGGUCAAAAGUCCUUCCGAUGGUGGAAGGCAUUGCGCCCCUAGUUGAUGGACGGUGGUGACCUGGGAUAAAGUUAACCUGCGAGCCGACCAGGAAUGGAGUUGGGCCGCUGUCGACCCGGCAGAUUCCGUUGGAUGCUGGUGUUGGGUGCGGAACCUGAGCGAUCCACUGAGAAGUUGACUAGGGUGACUGGAUGAGGGUGCCCCGAAAUACCGGGGAAGGCAGGGUUUCGCAGGGUAGCUGCCACGGGCGAAGAUACACCCCCCUGUUUCACACAUCAUAUAAAUGUAUGAAUCCAGAAACGUUUGUGGGAACGAUCGAUUAUGCUGGUCAUCACGACUUACAACUGCUACGUCGGAGGGAACCCGAAAAUGGUAGCGGUAUGUUCGCUUGCCCCUGUACCAAUAAUCCGGCGCGGGCGAGAAAGAUAGUUUGCCCACACAUCCACCCAAAUUAACCACAAAUUUCAAGUACUCGAGCAAGACUUCAACAUGUUGUGUUGCAACCAUCAAUUUUCAAAAAAAAAGUACAGCAGCUGCUGAUGCCUGUGAAUCUCAUCACGUGUCAUGCAUGCCUGUAAGUGACAUGCCGCCACAUUCAAGAACCAAGCAAGAUCCAAGGAAUUGAUAUUUUGCUGACCUAACAACCAACCAACCGAACAAACCGACCAAACAAACCUAGGUAACGAAUUCAGCUGAGAAGGAAUUGACAUGCGGACCUAUGCUAACAACCAACCAAAUUGACCAUUGAACAAAAGAAGCAAACCCAGGUAACGAAUCUGGCCAACAUUCUACCCACGGCAAGCGACACCUCGUGUGAGGCAAUCAAAUGCGUGCAUCAUCUGCUCCCCAUAUUUGCAAUGCCGCGGCUUGCAUGGGCCGACGGAAUCAGAGGAAUGCACUCCCGACUGCUGCCAAGCAAAAAAUUUACUCAGUACAAGGAAACCUGUGCUACCUAAUAACCUGCCUAUACAAAAUUUCUGCCUGACAACUACAAUGCUAUAUGUGACCUAAUGACCUGUGCUGUAUGCACCUAUCCUACAUCCUGCUUGUAACCCAUCAGCUGCUGCAGUACCUGCCUAAUACACAGCCUGCGCAAUAACGUACCUAACUAAUCACUAUGCCUACUGCCCUACCGGCACAUACAAUGUUGUAGCCGUACUGCCUUAAUAACAAAAUUACUUUCAUUUUGCUUCAAUGAAUGAAUGGAUGGAGCUGAGCGGUUCAAA